AGAGUUUGAUCCUGGCUCAGGAUGAACGCUAGCUACAGGCUUAACACAUGCAAGUCGAGGGGAAACGAUAGAGAAAGCUUGCUUUUUCUAGGCGUCGACCGGCGCACGGGUGAGUAACGCGUAUCCAACCUGCCCACCACUUGGGGAUAACCUUGCGAAAGUAAGACUAAUACCCAAUGAUAUCUCUAGAAGACAUCUGAAGGAGAUUAAAGAUUUAUCGGUGAUGGAUGGGGAUGCGUCUGAUUAGCUUGUUGGCGGGGUAACGGCCCACCAAGGCGACGAUCAGUAGGGGUUCUGAGAGGAAGGUCCCCCACAUUGGAACUGAGACACGGUCCAAACUCCUACGGGAGGCAGCAGUGAGGAAUAUUGGUCAAUGGACGAGAGUCUGAACCAGCCAAGUAGCGUGCAGGAUGACGGCCCUAUGGGUUGUAAACUGCUUUUAUAAGGGAAUAAAGUGAGAGUCGUGACUCUUUUUGCAUGUACCUUAUGAAUAAGGACCGGCUAAUUCCGUGCCAGCAGCCGCGGUAAUACGGAAGGUCCGGGCGUUAUCCGGAUUUAUUGGGUUUAAAGGGAGCGUAGGCCGGAGAUUAAGCGUGUUGUGAAAUGUAGAUGCUCAACAUCUGCACUGCAGCGCGAACUGGUUUCCUUGAGUACGCACAAAGUGGGCGGAAUUCGUGGUGUAGCGGUGAAAUGCUUAGAUAUCACGAAGAACUCCGAUUGCGAAGGCAGCUCACUGGAGCGCAACUGACGCUGAAGCUCGAAAGUGCGGGUAUCGAACAGGAUUAGAUACCCUGGUAGUCCGCACGGUAAACGAUGGAUGCCCGCUGUUGGUCUGAAUAGGUCAGCGGCCAAGCGAA
rnacentral:rRNA from 1 species